AGUAGACCCAGCAGAUCAAGAAGACACAACACAACCAAAAAAGGAUGUUUCGGCUGUUGCUGCCAUGGACAUUUUUAGAACAUAUAAAACCUGUUAUUGUGAAUUUGCUCAAGGCUGUGUCUAAUUCCCACUGAAGUUCAGCCAACACUGAGCGUGACAGCAUGGCUGCAACCCGAGCUGUUCUCUGAAGAUCACCAGACUCCUCUCGCUCACAUGGCAGCUGGCAAACAUCUCUCCUGGCUUUUCCAGUGCUCCUGCCACCCCUCUCUGGCUUGUCUGACUCCCUGCUUUCCCAGUCUUCCCUCACAGAUUGAUGAAGCAGUGGUGAGGUGGGAUGGCUGGCAGCAUUUUGAGACAAAAAUGCUGUCUCAUCUCCUGCUGUGAGGAUGUGGGGACCUCAGGAGGUGCUGUGGCAGCUCAGGCCUCAGCCUGGAUCUGUGACCACCUUCCAGGGGUCUGAGUUUUGCAGAGCCUCAUGAAACCCAGAUUUUUUUUUUACUCUUUUUCUCCGUCAGACUCAGGCUUCCAGUUCUUGAGAUCCUUCUCUUCCACACACUGCUCUGAGAGGGGGCAUGAGGAUGGAUUUUAAAAAUGAGAGAGUUAAUAAACUUUUCUGUAAAA